GCAGAGUCGAGAUUGAAAAAGAAACUCAUGCAUGCGAUGUGCCUGUGGUCUAGAACUUAUUGCUUUGGACAAAAUGUUUAAUGAGGAAAAGUGUUUUCCAUCAACUUCUAAGAGAAGCACUUCUCGUAGAGAAUACUUUUCCUGGCUAGUCAAGCUCUGCGUCCUGUCUCUUCGAAGAAAGAGAGUUGAAGUGCUUUUAUUAGUGACCUUUCGAUGUGUACUUGCUACUUGGGGAUCUAUUUGUAUAGGGAAUAAUGGGAUGAGAGAAGCGAGAUAAAUUUAGUUUGAUGGUGAGAACCAAUUUGUUCUUUCUUGUCAUACUCUUGUACUCUUUUGAUUAAGUGAAUUAUCAUUGGCAUCGUCGCCCAUGGAUGUAGCCCAACUUUGGGUGAACCACGUUAAAUAUGGUGUUUCAUUUUGUGUUUACUUUUCUUGCGUUUGGUUUGUGGUCUCGAACUAGAGAGUUAAAUUAAAUGUGACAAAUUCCUUA